GGUAUAUAAUGUUCGGACUGUCGCCUUCUUGCUUCUCUUUGUGCGCCGUCGCAGAUGGGGUUCCAUGGGAGUACGGCUUGUCGGGCCACAACAGAAUGCCUGUCAGAAAAUGUGCUGACAUGCUUAGUAACUGCGGUGUCAUGAGACGACUCUAAGAAUGCAUUGGGAUAUACUACACAAGCAGACCAGCAGCCCAGUGAACAGCCAGUGCAUGGAGAAAGCUGUGGAAAAGAUGUGAAGGCUUGAACAAGUUAAGCUUCCUUAAGCACUGCAGUGUUGGACUGGAAGAGGGCCAUACAUUAUCCUAGAUAUAUUGUGAGUGGCUACAGUUCAGCUUCAGUCACAGCCUAUUAAAUUGCAUAAAGGAAUCACUUGCUAUUUACAGAGAAUGUACUAUGAUGUGGACUUCUGGUUCAGAACAUUACGCCUUGGCAAAAAGGUGCGGUGCAGCUAAGACACUGGCAUUGGUGUCUUCAGAGUAUUUGGCAUAUAUCUGGCAACUAUUAGAGGCAUCUUCUGGAGGAUAUGGAAAGUGAGGCAAAACCACUAUUUAAUGGGCUUUGCAGUUCUGCACUUGAUGAUCCUGCACCACUAUCGAGCAACUUGGGGACUGUACUGCUAAAAACUAGCUAUAGCACUGCUUUAAAACCCAUGAGUUUGCAAAUAAAGCAUCCAUCUUGCAGAGCAUUUUUAACAAGUAAAAAAAAAAUUUUUGAGCUUUUAAUUUA